rnacentral:tRNA from 1 species
GGGGGUGUAGCUCAGUUGGUUAGAGCGCUGGCCUGUCACGCCAGAGAGCCGCGGGUUCGAGUCCCGUCACUCCCGCCA